rnacentral:misc_RNA from 1 species
GAUGAAGAACGCAGCGAAAUGCGAUAAGUAGUGUGAAUUGCAGAAUUCAGUGAAUCAUCGAAUCUUUGAACGCACAUUGCGCCCCUUGGUAUUCCGGGGGGCAUGCCUGUCCGAGCGUCAUUACAACCCUCAAGCUCAGCUUGGUGUUGGGCCCCGCCGCCCCGGCGGGCCCUAAAGUCAGUGGCGGUGCCGUCCGGCUCCGAGCGUAGUAAUUCUUCUCGCUCUGGAGGUCCGGUCGUGUGCUCGCCAGCAACCCCCAAUUUUUUUCAGGUUGACCUCGGAUCAGGUAGGGAUACCCGCUGAACUUAAGCAUAUCAAUAAGCGGAGGA